GCCUCCUACCUUUACUCUUGGUUUGUUCCGAAUUUUUUUUCCGCCUGGUGGAUUUUAUCUCUUUAUUUCUCCUGAACCGUUCUUUUCCCCCGAGGUUCCUGGGUGUCUCUUUUAUUCUUUUCUGGUCGUCUUCAUUUCUCCGCCCAAAGUGUGUCCCAGGCAGGGAGAGGGAGAUCCAGGAAGGAGGAUGCUGUGCUGGGCUCUCCUCGGACGGAAGUGGAACAUGGGGUCACCAGGCGGACGAGGACGGAGGAGGGCAGAUGGGUCCUGGAGGAGGCCAACAGUCGAGGUUCUCCCAUGGCGGAGACGGAGCCGCUUUUGAGAGAGGAGGCGGAAGGAGCAGGCGCCGUCAAUAGAUCGGAGGCCCGAGGAUCAGGAAGCAGCAACAUUGAAGGUUUUCCGAGACCAUGGAUUGUACGAGUUUUGUGCGGCGCUGAUUUUGAGCUUUUUAUAUUUGUGCACAUGUGAUGUGUUUUGCUGAUACCUGUGGAGCAAUCUGAAUACCGUAAGUAUCGAUCAUGCCGAAACCUUGAUUACUAAAUGCAAUGGGCAAGCUAACGUUCUCUACUUCUAUGAUUAGUAUGAACAACACUGUCUUUUCUAUAAUUUUAGUAUGGUGUGCUCCAUCAAGAUAGGUUUCGAAUGAUAAUUUUUGUAGACAAAGAUGUUGCGCUUCUUCCUGGUAUAUUAGUAGGAGGGUCUGGCAUUCACAAAAAACAUAGUAGGAGGGACUGGCACAAAUCAUGUGAAGGGUUCGCUGGAUGAGGUAGAAGAGGAGUAGCCCAAAACACUGCAUCUAUAGUGCUUAGUACCCAUGGCCACUUGUCAUGGUUUUUUCAUUGCUUAGUUUCUAAUUCUUUACUCAGUUUAUUAUUGUAAAAUAUCACCAGACACAUUUCUCAAUAUAAAAUAGAAUCAAUAAACCCAAUGUUAUGUUCGGCUAAAACCGGACUUGCUCCCACGAGAAGAAAUGUGUUAUCUUUGUUUUCUCAUUGGUAAAGGUAACAAGUAUUGCAGGUAGACAAGGACUAUGCUUAAUUCGAGUACAACUAUGGUAUGGUCAAUAUUUUUCAGUAAGAUGUGUUCAACACCACUCUCUUCCAUUCCGAAUGCUUGUAUUUUUCAAAAGACAAACGAGCUCAUGCAGUUUUUGGUUUUGUGGAUUGCCACCAGAUAGUCCUUGUCAAGAGCCAAUGAGAUUAAGAGAAAUAAGAGAGCCAUAUUCUUGAGCAAGAUAGAUGUAAAGCAGAGUCGGUGAAAAAGGAGGAGACGGUGUGGGGUGAUAUGCCCGUGUACUGCGUGUAGGAGGUCCAAACGAUUGUCCAUCUUCGGCUGCCUUCAUUUUAUUGUUGAAAUUCUCAUUCCCCUCCAUCGUGCAUCCCUUGCUCUUGUGGAUCUCCCCCUCUCUUUUCGUUCUGAUCUCCUUUCUCCCUUUUUUUCAUGCGUUAUUGUCGUGCUCCGCUGGGAUGGAGGAGUCUUAGCGUGAGGAGGAAGAAGAAAGAAUGGUGGCGUGGAUGCAGAUACAGAACAUGCCAAGAGAAAGAAGACCCAUAUUUUGCAGUUCGUGUGUAAUGCCCAUAUAAUAGUUAGAUCUGGUAAUAACGGGGCAAUAACUGGGCCAGAAGGAGACUAAAUUUGUUUGGAAACAGGGUUUAGUUGUGGUACUAGUAAAAAGCCAGAGAAAAAACCGGACUCACUUGUAAUAACCAUAACUGGUCAGAAUGGUAAAGGAAUGAGGAUUGAAAGGAACGAACACUA